GACUUUCACAGCCCUGUUAGCGUUAGCGCUGUGCUAGCGGGUUGCUGCUGUGUUACUGGCGUGUCUCAGUGAUAUUUACUGAAAAAGAGGCGGAAGGCCCGAAUCUCGCCGGUCAAGGUUACCUUCGAAGUCGACCGUGCCGUCGCCGUUGUCGUCGGCCUCUUUGACGAUGGCGUCGAUCUCCCUCCUGCUCAUGUGCUCGCCCAUUAACUUGAUCAUGGCCGACCGCAACUCUUCCGUGGUGAUCUCGCCGUCGCCGUCCGCGUCAAACUAGAAAAGCAGACGAGCGCUAGCGGCGUUUUUCAGCUCCUUCACGCCAAUCAUGCCGGCCGUUUCCGCCAGAAGUUUGGGCGCCAUCAGAUCCACAAAGUCCUCGAAGUCCACUCUGCCGCCGACUGGACGUCAAAAGUGAGGAAAAUGCAUCAUACGUAUGUAUUUAAUACAUUUUUAUACAGCUUACGCUCAGUAAAGUUUUCCACCAUGAUGGGUUUUGUCAUGUAGAAAAAAAAAAAAUAAAGUCAAAUUCAGAAUAUAAUAAUGCACUAUUCAUUUGAACACAUAUGUACAGUACAUACAUUAUUAUGGAAUAAUGUUAUCAUUUUAAGCGCGAGCAUUAUUAGUACUUCUUUGAGGUAUUACAGUGUGGUACGUGUACCACGAUGGCUUCACAGUCUCCCUCUAGUGUUGCGUCAAGGCAUCACGACCUAGAUACAGUUCAAUUGCAUUUCCCUUUUUUUUUUUUGCUCAGUAUAUUUGCAUUUUAUCUACAAGAACUGAUUUUUUUUUUUACUUUUAUGAAGGGUAAUUUUUUAUAUUAAAGUCCAAUACAUUUCCACUAAAUCAUUAUUAAAUUAGUUUUAAGUGAUGAGGAAAUUGAGCACAAUGGUACAGUGCAAUUGCAAUAAUAUUACAUAUGCUUUUUAUGAAUAAAACAGGUAUUGCUUUUAAACAAUUAGGCCUCGUACAUUACUGCACUCUAUUUUAAUAUUGGCCAUGGUGGUGAUAGAGUAGAGAUAUAUAAUAUAAUAUAA